rnacentral:rRNA from 1 species
AGUGAACGCUGGCGGUAGGCCUAACACAUGCAAGUCGAACGGCAGCAUAGUAAGAGCUUGCUCUUACGGGUGGAGAGUGGCGGACGGGUGAGGAAUAAUUCGAAAUAUACUUUUUAGUGGGGGAUAACGUAGGGAAAAGUACGCUAAUCCCGCAUACGACCUACGGGUGAAAGCAGGGGAUCUUCGGACCUUGUGCGAUUGAAUGAGCCGAUGUCGGAUUCGCUAGUUGGCGGGGUAAAGGCCCACCAAGGCGACGAUCCGUAACUGGUCUGAGAGGAUGAGCAGCCACACUGGAACUGAAGCACGGUCCAGACUCCUACGGGAGGCAGAAGUGGGGAAUAUUGGACAAUGGGCGCAAUCCUGAUCCAGCCAUACCGCGUGGGUGAAGAAGGCCUUCGGGUCGUAAAGCCCUUUUGUUGGGAAAGAAAAGCAGCAGGUUAAUACCCCGCUGUUCUGACGGUACCCAAAGGAUAAGCACCGGCUAACUUCGUG